GUCACCAUUAGAGUUCAUUUUUGGUGAGAUUGGGAGUUAAUCUUUGAAGAAGAAGAAAGGUUUCUUGUUAAGGAUCCAUUUGGUUGGUUGUGGUGAAGUUUGUUCCAUCAAUUUCACAUCUCUUCAAAAAGGGGAAAAAUUUAGGGUUUGAUCAAAUCCUAAUACGGCUCGGAUUUUGCAAGUCUCCCCCAACAAGAUACUGGCUAAUGAAAAAGGAGACCAUGUAUUAACUCUUGGGAAGUCUCAUGUCAACUGGAAAUUUUGGAGAAGGCGAUUCAAGGAUUUUACGUAUCAGGCGUGGCUGAGGAUACGUGCACAACUCAUUAUGUAAUUGUGAUUCUCUGCACAUGUUUAUCAAUUGAAGGGGAAAAUUCAUAGAAACGAAAAUGGUGGUUCCGAUUCUUUCACUAAACGUCUUCAUAUCAACGAUUUUGUGCUUUGAUUUUUUUCUCAUUUGGGCAUGCUAUAAGAUUUUGUUCUUUAUAAAUUACUUUUAUUUUUUUACUAUUUUUUCUUUAAUUU